AACGGUCUAUACCUGCGGUACCUGCGGAGGGAUCAUUAGUGAACGCCCUCACGGGCUUAUAACUAUUCCAAACCUCUGUGAACCGUGCCCUUCGGGGCUGUUUUACAAACAUGGUGUAAUGAACGUCAUAUAUCAUAACAAAACAAAACUUUCAACAAUGGAUCUCU
rnacentral:misc_RNA from 1 species